GGGAAGAGACUUUCCUCUUGAGAACCAUCGUCCCUCUCCGCUUCGAGGUGCCAAAAGUCAGCUUCACCAAGGCAGCAGCUUCCGGUCCACAACUGAGGAAUCGGCCUCCUUAUCCCAGCCAUUGUGUGGUCAAGGCCAACGUAAACACCAUGGAAGGGCAUCCCAAAUCACAGCACAGCCUCUAGCCAGGAAGAGCAGCAUGUGCCAGCACGGAGGAGAAUGAAGAGUCUACCGUCACCCUCAGGGUUCAGAGAAGCAGCAGCGGUUAAACAGGAUUGCCUCCUGCAUUGGUCAGACCCUUCUCGAUCCCACUCAAGCAAGGAUGAAAACCAGCCCUGAAAUGCUUCAGGAGGGAUGGCAGGAUCCAGUGGUGGGAUGUCAGUGUCUGGAGUCUGGCACCUCCCCUCCAUUUUUGGGAGCUGCUGCCUCACAAUGGAGCACGCUGGAUCUGCCUCCCAUAAAUGCAGUGUCUGCCCAGCAACAUCCUGCCCUGGAGGAGAGAAGUUCCCAGGCCCUGCCAAGUAUCAACAUCAAGAACAUGUCCCACGGAGACAAGGCCACACAGCAGCUUCCCUGUGUCAGCAUUCCCACUGAGCCCUCCCAACAGGCAGCCCAAAUUCCCUGCUCACACACACACA